CACGUAAGGGGCAAGCGUUGUUCGGAUUUAUUGGGCGUAAAGGGCGCGUAGGCGGGUGAUUAAGUUAGGUGUUUAACCUUCAGGCUCAACCUGAAGUCGGCACUUAAUACUGAUUAUCUUGAGUAUCGGAGGGGAAAGUGGAAUUCUUGGUGUAGCGGUGGAAUGCGUAGAUAUCAAGAGGAACACCAGUGGCGAAGGCGACUUUCUGGCCGAAUACUGACGCUGAAGCGCGAAAGCGUGGGGAGCAAACAGG
rnacentral:rRNA from 1 species